AGAGUUUGAUCCUGGCUUAGGAUGAACGCUGGCGGCACGCUUAACACAUGCAAGUCGAGCGGAGCUAAAUACUUCGGUAGUUGCUUAGCGGCGGACGGGUGAGUAACACGUGGGUAACCUACCCCAUACAGGGGGAUAACGUAUAGAAAUGUACGCUAAUACCGCAUAAGCCAACAGGGUAGGCAUCUUCUGGUUGGAAAAGCGCUAGUGGUAUGGGAUGGGCCCGCGACUGAUUAGCUGGUUGGCGAGGUAACGGCCCACCAAGGCGACGAUCAGUAGCCGGUCUGAGAGGAUGGACGGCCACAUUGGGACUGAGACACGGCCCAGACUCCUACGGGAGGCAGCAGUGGGGAAUAUUGCGACAAUGGGGGGAACCCUGAUGCAGCCGAUGCCGCGUGAAGGAAGAAGUAUUCGGUAUGUAAACUUCUAUCAGCAGGGAAGAAGCAAGACAGUACCUGAGUAAGCAGCCCCGGCUAACUACGUGCCAGCCGCUGC
rnacentral:rRNA from 1 species